AUGACUUUGAUCAGCGUCUUCAUCUGCACACUGGCCCUCUGGACUCAAGGAUCCAGAGGUCAGGUGACUGUGACUCAGACUCCUUCAGUGCAAACUGUUGCUCCAGGAAACACCGUCACCAUCAACUGUAGAACCAGCAGGAGUGUAUAUUAUGGUAACUACCUUGCCUGGUACCUGCAGAAAUCUGGAGAAGCUCCUAAACUCCUGAUCUAUGAUGCUUCUAGCUUAUACACAGGGACUCCAGCUCGUUUCAGUGGGAGUGGAUCUGGUACUGACUUUACUCUGACAAUCAGAGGAGUCCAGACUGAAGAUGCAGGAGAUUACUACUGUCACAGUUGCCAUAGUGGUCCUAUGUACACACAGUGUUAG